UCUAUCUUCAUUCCAUGUCUUCUCCUACUAAACACAUGAAGAAGAAAUGGGUUAUUUUAAUAACCUAAACAUAGCAGGAACUAAAUAUGGUUUAUCCUUGAGUAUCGUAACAAAAAAAGGCCCACAAAAUUCAAGUGAGCAGAGCACUCUCCUUUCCUUAACUAAAAAACUUACGGGAGAAAUCAUCUCCACUGGGCACAAUGGCUCAUGCCUGUAAUCCCAGCACUUUGAGAGGCCAGGGCAGGAGGACUGCUUGAGCCCAGGAGUUUGAGAACAGCCAGGGCAACAAAGCAAGACCUUGUCUCCACAAAAAAUAAAAAAUUAGCUGGGCGUGGUGGCACACACCUGUAGUCCCAGCUACUCAGGAGGGUGAGGUGGGAGGCUCAUGUGAGCCCAAUAAGUUGAGGCUGCAGUAAGCUUUGACUGUGCCACUGCAUUCCAGCCUGGGUGACAGAGCAAGACCCUGGUCUCAAAAAAAAAAAAGGGGGGGGGGGGAAGAAAUCAUCUCCUAACUUUACAGUGUCACAUCCUCAUUCCUAAUGCCACCUGCACCUCCACUUCACACACGAGGGUGAUCGAUCACCCUAAACCAUCUGCUCACCAGGGCUCUGCAUAUGGGGUCACCUUGGCCCCAUGUGAUCCCAUGGCUGCUGUCUAGUCUGGGCGUCAGUGACCCUGCACUCCCUACAUGUGACUGCUCCUCUGCAGACCCCGUCCAAUCAGCUCUCCAUUUCUGUCCUGGCUGCUUCUCACCCUCGGUGAUCUCAUGCAUCACUGUGCUUCAACCCAUACCUCAACACACCAUGUUUUUAAGAUAUCUCAAAAGGGCUUCCUAGUUCACAAGGCCCUAUUAAUUCUAAUUCCAAAAAUGUCCCUAGUUUUUAGUCUUCCUUUCCAGUUCCCAAAAUUGUAACUCCGGAUCAUGCCAUUAUUACUCAUAACACCUGGAUCACCAAUACAGUCUCCCAAGGGCUCUCCCUGCACACAAUUUUUCCCACUUCAGUCCACCUACUGUCAAGAACGUCUGCUUAAAACAGAUCUAUUCAUGUUACCUAUCUAUUGCCCACUGUAACCUCUUUCACACAGGCUGCUUGAGGAUUAAAUGAGUUAAUACAUGCAGGACGCUUAGAACAAAACCUCAUACACACUCUACCAAACAUGUUCAAACUCCACUGCUGAACCUCACGUAAAGCUACCCGUGACCUACCCUUACUCUACCUUACCAUCCCGUUCCACCACACUUUUUCUGUAUGCCUCUUGACACUUCCUGCGUGUUCCCAUUGGGUGGCUCCUUCACUAGGACUGCCUUACAACCCAAGCUUCUGCUAGUCAUCUGUGAAGAUUCGCUGCUGGCCACUUUCUUUCUGGAACUUUCCCAACCCUACCAUGCUCCCUUUUUCACACCCUAUGCAACAAAUCCGCACCUCUCUUGGAGCAUUUUUCACAGUGUGGUUCGUAGAAUAUUUCCAGGCGCCCAAAUGCACAGUGGCACUGAACUCUCCACCCCCUGCAACUGCAUGUGGCUGCUAGACCUACUUUGGCUAGUGUUCAAAUGUCCACUCUUCCUCCCUGAGGUCCCUGGGGAGGACCUCAACCUAGGGAGAUUGUAUCGUAAUCCCCACUCUGUCAACUCAGGUACUUAAGGCAGUGCUUAGUGUUAUGCUGAAGGAAUGUUUAAUUAGAUGAUUUAAUUUUGUGAUGUGAAACUUGGAAGUGAAUUUUUUUUUGUUCAUUUAAAUGUUUCAGAGAUGUUAAUAUCCAAUUAGCUUUUGUUCUGUUUCCCAACCCUUUGGUUUUUUUUGAAAACUAACAACCUAAAUAUUAAUAAUAAUUUAUAUUUCUAUGCAUUGGAUAGAACUCAAUAUUUACAGGAACUGUUUGGACAAACCUGUUAAUUCAACUAGUCAUUCCUCAGUUUAAUAAUAUCAGAUUUUCUUUUUUUGUGAGACAGAGUCUUGCUCUGUCGCCCAGGCUGGAGUGCAGUGGCGUGAUCUCGGCUCACUGUAACCUCCGCCUCCUGGGUUCAAGCAAUUAUCUGCCCCAGCCUCUCGAGUAGCUGGGAUUACAGAAGCCCGCCACCACAACCGGCUAAUUUUUGUAUUUUUAGUAGAGAUGGGGUUUGACACUGACUAUUAAGCUAAUCAUCUUCUAAAAAUAUAAAGGAGGAAAUACUUUUCAGAUACAAGAGUUUUGGGAAAGGACACUUCAAAACAUUCAGUGAUCAGGCUUUCCCACAUGUUCAAUCUAGAGAAGAAACAGAGGUUAAUCAGAUUGCCCACGAGGUUCCUUUGUGAAAAUAUCAUAACCAAGUUAAUAAGUGGAAAUAAAAUAUAGAGCACUUUAUUGGGCCCUUGGACAAUCAUGUAGCAUUUAAAAAACAUAUAUAAUUUCUCCAGGAAGUUUAAAAUAGAAGAGGCAACCCAGAUUCAGACUCCCAGGAAUACUUGGUGACUUUAAAACACACUGAUUGAAAGAAUGUACAUUGAGAGGAGGGGUAUUAAGACAGCACGCUGGCUGGAUUCCACCAAUCUCUCUUAACUCUAAAUCUUCCCAUUCUUUUCUUUUUCUUUUUUUUUUGGAUAAACUUUUUUUUUUAACUUAAAGUUUUUGGGUACAUGUGCACAACAUG
rnacentral:lncRNA from 1 species